CACCUACUCCAUCCGUUCGGAAUUACUUGUCUCGGAAAUGGAUGCAUCUAGACGUAUUUUAGUUCUAAAUACAUCCAUUUUUAAGACAAGUAAUUCCGAACGGAGGGAGUAGUAG
rfam:Triticum aestivum genome assembly, contig: Triticum_aestivum_CS42_TGACv1_scaffold_134070_2BL